UACAGAGGGGGCAAGCGUUGUUCGGAAUUACUGGGCGUAAAGGGCGCGUAGGCGGCCUUCUAAGUCGAACGUGAAAUCCCUGGGCUCAACCCAGGAACUGCGUCCGAUACUGGAAGGCUUGAAUCCGGGAGAGGGAUGCGGAAUUCCAGGUGUAGCGGUGAAAUGCGUAGAUAUCUGGAGGAACACCGGUGGCGAAGGCGGCAUUCUGGACCGGCAUUGACGCUGAGGCGCGAAAGCCAGGGGAGCAAACGGG
rnacentral:rRNA from 1 species